UGUGAAGAAGGCCUUCGGGUUGUAAAGCACUUUUGUCCGGAAAGAAAACUUCGAGGUUAAUACCCUUGGAGGAUGACGGUACCGGAAGAAUAAGCACCGGCUAACUACGUGCCAGCAGCCGCGGUAAUACGUAGGGUGCGAGCGUUAAUCGGAAUUACUGGGCGUAAAGCGUGCGCAGGCGGUCUGUUAAGACCGAUGUGAAAUCCCCGGGCUUAACCUGGGAACUGCAUUGGUGACUGGCAGGCUUUGAGUGUGGCAGAGGGGGGUAGAAUUCCACGUGUAGCAGUGAAAUGCGUAGAGAUGUGGAGGAAUACCGAUGGCGAAGGCAGCCCCCUGGGCCAACACUGACGCUCAUGCACGAAAGCGUGGGGAGCAAACAGGAUUAGAUACCCUGGUAGUCCACGCCCUAAACGAUGUCAACUAGUUGUUGGGGAUUCAUUUCCUUAGUAACGUAGCUAACGCGUGAAGUUGACCGCCUGGGGAGUACGGUCGCAAGAUUAAAACUCAAAGGAAUUGACGGGGACCCGCACAAGCGGUGGAUGAUGUGGAUUAAUUCGAUGCAACGCGAAAAACCUUACCUACCCUUGACAUGGUCGGAACCC
rnacentral:rRNA from 1 species